UUUGAAGUGAAAUAACCUUAUAAUGAAUGCAAAUAAUUCUGUAAAAGAGCUGAGUGUAAUAUGGACUUUAUUCACACAAUUCUGUACUGACACAUCUUUAAAAAAUUAGAGUUUGUCUCUCAUUCUGAAGGAAGUUUUCUGGUUUAAUCUUAGUUACUCAGAGACCAAAGCUGAAAUCUUCUUCUUACCUUGCAAGCCAAGGACCAGUGGAGGCAACUGAGAGACCAGACCUGGAAUGGACCUCGUCUGCCUCACGGGGAACCACAAGGAUGGCUGCUCGAAGACCGAGGCCGAAGUCCAGCACUCCUUCCUCCCCGGCAGCUCAACAGACUGGCAUGGCCUCACAUGACUUUCUUCAUGUUACUUCCACUCCCCAAACUUCUACAUCUACAAAAAUGCCAGAGCGAGAGACUGCUACCCUGGAAUCAGGCCUGAAAAUCACUCCUCACCCCUCCAUGGAAACCAGAGAGAGCGUGAUGGCUUUUGAUGAAACUCAGCACAUUUCUUCAAGACCUGAAACAUCAGGCAUCCAAGAAAUACCAUCAGCUAUACCUGUUCUCCCGAGACCAGUUCUGGAGUCCACAUCUUUUCCUUUCCUGAAAACCACGAGGACAGUGAUGGGUAAAGAGUUAUUCCAUCCUAAUGUCUAUCAUUUCACAGUACUUAAAUAAGAAAAGCUGUAUUUCAAAAUUUAGUC
rnacentral:lncRNA from 1 species